rnacentral:tRNA from 1 species
GCUGGCGUAGCUCAGUGGUAGAGCAGCUGAUUCGUAAUCAGCAGGUCGUCGGUUCAACUCCGACCGUCAGCU